rnacentral:misc_RNA from 1 species
CUUGAUGACUAUGUCGGGAUCGCCAAGCAUCGCGCUUCGACCUACAACCGCGCAAAACUUGGCGACCUGCAGACGACGCAAAUCAAGAUCGCUGAAGCCUCCGCAAAAAUCGAUGCGGCACGUCUCAUCAUGCGCCGGACGUGCAUUGAAGCCAUGUCUGAUGCCCGCCAUGGUACUGUCCCCGAUCUCUCGGAAAAAACCAAAUACCGGCGCGAUGGGGCAUAUGCGGUCAAUCUGUGCACCGAAGCGGUCUCGACGCUGUUUUCGGCGAGCGGCGCGCGGGGCCUUUACACGACUGGCGCAUUGCAGCGGCAGUUCCGCGAUGCUCACGCGAUCAACGCUCAUAUCGCGUUCAGCUUCGAUGCUGCCGGAACCAACUAUGGUCGCGUUGCGCUGGACUUGCCGUCCGAAAACCUGACCCUCUGAGGCUCGGUGAUGGUUGCAUCGCAGAACCCGACGGAU